rnacentral:tRNA from 1 species
CAAGAUAAAACUUAUUAGUGAAGUAUUUCAUUUACACUGAAAAUUAUUCUGUGCAAAUCAGGAUAUCUUGA